GCCUAGAAAAGAAAAUAUGGUCAAAUUUACAUUGAGAAAGAAAAAAAAUAACAAGUGGUUUUUUCAUAUUCUGAAGUUACAGUUGCACAAAAAGAACUUAUCUAAUAGGCAAGAAAUGUGAUUGAGUGAAUUGAAAACUCUCUAAUAAAAAGUCAAGCUCCACUUCUAGCAGCAACAUUUCAAAUAAGAGAUAUGGACUUAGAAAUAAUUUUAUAAGGUAUUCCCUUUUCUGGUAUACCUAAAUAAGAAAAUGGGGGCUGAAUAUUCACUUCACAAUAGAAAACUUCAACAAACUGAGAAUUAUCAGUCACAUAUAAGUGCACAAAUGGAAUGAAGCAUAAUGAUCAUAACAGUAUCAGGCAGAGGAAGAAUAUCGUAAACAAAUACAUUUUAUUUUAUUAUUAUUGAUGUAUUAAUAUGGUGAUUGAUAUAAUAUGUUGAACUAAUUUAAUGAAAUUUAUGGAGUUA